AUUGAACGCUGGCGGCAUGCCUUACACAUGCAAGUCGAACGGUAACGCGGGGCAACCUGGCGACGAGUGGCGAACGGGUGAGUAAUGCAUCGGAACGUGCCCAGAAGUGGGGGAUAGCCCGGCGAAAGCCGGAUUAAUACCGCAUGAGACCUGAGGGUGAAAGCGGGGGAUCGCAAGACCUCGCGCUUUUGGAGCGGCCGAUGUCAGAUUAGCUAGUUGGUGGGGUAAAGGCCUACCAAGGCGAUGAUCUGUAGCUGGUCUGAGAGGACGACCAGCCACACUGGGACUGAGACACGGCCCAGACUCCUACGGGAGGCAGCAGUGGGGAAUUUUGGACAAUGGGCGCAAGCCUGAUCCAGCCAUGCCGCGUGCGGGAAGAAGGCCUUCGGGUUGUAAACCGCUUUUGUCAGGGAAGAAACGCUCUGGGCUAAUACCCUGGGGUAAUGACGGUACCUGAAGAAUAAGCACCGGCUAACUACGUG
rnacentral:rRNA from 1 species